CGCUCUGGAAAGAGGCCCUGAGCGCAGGGGUCCGCCCACGGUGAAAGCGCCGCCCCUCGCCGGGCGUCGUGAAACUCUCAGGCACCGGUACAGAGGGGG
rnacentral:ncRNA from 1 species